rnacentral:rRNA from 1 species
CCUACGGGAGGCAGCAGUGGGGAAUAUUGCGCAAUGGGCGAAAGCCUGACGCAGCGACGCCGCGUGAGGGAUGAAGGUCUUCGGAUCGUAAACCUCUGUCAGCAGGGAAGAACGGUCACUGUGCUAAUCAGCAGUGAAUUGACGGUACCUGCAAAGGAAGCACCGGCUAACUCCGUGCCAGCAGCCGCGGUAAUACGGAGGGUGCGAGCGUUAAUCGGAAUUACUGGGCGUAAAGCGAUCGUAGGCGGUAUGUCAAGUCAAGGGGGAAAUCCCCGCGCUCAACGUGGGAACUGCCUUUGAAUCUGGCAAACUGGAGUGUGUGAGAGGAGAGUGGAAUUCCAGGUGUAGGAGUGAAAUCCGUACAUAUCUGGAGGAACAUCAGUGGCGAAGGCGACUAUCUGGCACAUAACUGACGCUGAGGAGCGAAAGCGUGGGUAGCAAACAGGAUUAGAUACCCCAGUAGUC